GACGAACGCUGGCGGCGUGCCUAAUACAUGCAAGUCGAACGCAGUGGGGACGGGUGAGUAACACGUGGGUAACCUCCCCUCAGAGGGGAUAACACUUGGAAACAGGUGCUAAACCGAUACUGAUGGAUGGACCCUCGUUGCAUUAGCUAGUUGGUGAGGUAACGGCUCACCAAGGCCACGAUGCAUAGCCGAACUGGAAGGGUGAUGGGACACACUGGGACUGAGACACGGCCCAGAGUCUUACGGGAGGCAGCAAUAAGGAAUCUUCGGAAAUGGACGAAAGUCUGACCGAGCAACGCCGCGUGAGUGAAGAAGGUUUUCGGAUCGUAAAACUCUGUUGUUAGAGAAGCGGGAUAUAACCAGAAAGCCACGGCUAACUACGUGCCAGCAGACGCGGAAAUUC
rnacentral:rRNA from 1 species